UGGAUCGGGUCAACCCACCCUGACCCCGGGUACCAUCGUGGCCACCUUCCCCCGCCGGCCGCGCCGCCAACUACCACCUUCCCCCGCCGGCCGCGCCUCCGGCCACCUUGCCCCGGCGGCCAUGCCUCCGGCCACCUUGACCCGGCGGCCACGCCUCCGGCCACCUCCCCCCUGCAGCCAUGCCUCCGGUCACCUUGCCCCCGGCGGCCGCGCCUCCGGCCACCUUGCCCCGGCGGCCACGCCUCCGGCCACCUCCCCCCUGCGGCCGUGCCUCUACUCACCUCUCCCCCGACCAACGCGCCUCCGGUCACCUCCCCCCGCCGCUGCCGCGAUUUCAGCCACCUCCUUCCCUAAUCCCCAGCGCGCCUUCGAUCCUGCCGUCCCCGGCGCCCAAACACGCCACCUACCUGAGCCAUGCCCCCGCUUCCUCCUAUCAGUCUCGGUGACGCUCGCGCCCUCUCCCCGCACCUAGCCUCCUGCCGGUGAAGAGUAGCGGCCUAGCCCGGCGCGAGGCACUCGAGGCCCAGCACGUGGCCUGAAUCUCGCGCGUCGACCAUCUCCGAGGGAGGCGCCGCGACCACUGUCUCCUACCUGCUACAGCAUGACGUGCCUCGCGCAGCCCUCUGAGCUCGAGUCCCGUCACCGACCGUCCGCUCUUGGCUUCGCUCACCUGUCCGUGCUUGACGGAAUCGAGCUUUUCCAUGGUUUUGCCGUCCAACUUCUAGCUCCGCCUCCGGUCGCUCAAUGAAUCACGUGCAGGCCACCCCCGUGCUCCGCCCCUAUAUUCGGUUCGGCUGUUAGCUCCUGUUCCAGCUGACUGUACUUGUUCUGAUGCUCUAAGUGACCUUAUGCAUGCAGCUGAGUUGGACUGCCUCCUAUUCAAAUUCUUGCAACUUUCAAUUAUGUUUUGUUCGAAAGCUACUUACUGUAAAGUAGUAUAUGUGCUAGCAUUUCAGUAUAGCUUCCAAAAAAAUGUGGUUCAAAUUCUCAAUUUGUUUAGAAGAAGAUAGGACAGGAAAACUUGAAUGGAAAGCUCAUAUGAGUGUGGAUGGUUUGAGUAAAUUGGUGACUGGUGGAGAUCAUUCAUGUUGAUUAUUUUUGACAAUAAUGAUAGGUCCACUAGAGAAUUUAUGGAUAACUUUGUAAGUACAGAGAUAAUCUUUAUAUGGACACUUGGACUAUAAACAUUUGCUAUAGUUCACCUUCAAUAACUUUGUAAGUACAGAGAUAUCACCUAAAUGUAAUAUGUAACUAUGUAUUGCAAUCUGAGCAAUGGGUGUGUAUAUUGUAGUCUCUGCAUGCACAGUCGAGAUGUGUUCAGCCCAACCCCAUGGCAUCAGGGAGGUCGAGUUCGUCACGAGCAGCAGCACAUGGUUGUUGGCUUCAACUUUCUUCCACCAAGGUGCUUUCACUCGGUGAUGCAAGGAUUGUAAUCUUCUCCCUCGAAGUACCUCAUCUAUCAUUCCUUGUAGAUGGAGAUGUGUGUAUGUAUACAUGUGUUAUGGAGAGAGAAGAACUUAUCUAGUGGUGUGUGUGUGUGUGUUGCUGCAUCCUCGUCUGGCCGCUCUAAUCCACACUCUCAGUACAACUUCUCUACGACCUCAUGUUCACAAAUCUUGUAGUACAUUUUUUCUAUAAAAAUCUUGUAGUACUGUGUAAAGCAAGCGUGGCCAACACAUAGUUUAGGUGUCGCAGUAGUACGCACUGUUGAUGGUGGCCUUCCUUUGUGGCGCUACUACUUUGCCACCUACUCUAAUGACAUGUACUUGCCAACAAUUAUGUAUAAUAAAUCAUGGCAUUAUAUGUAAAAAAAGAUAUAUUGUGUGUUCUGCUA